GGACAUAGCAUCAAAGUGGAGGCUAUUGUAACUGAAGAGAACUGGAAAGUUCCACCGUAGAAGGUAAUAGUCCUGUAAGUGAAACGAGAAGACCACGAGUUAUGAUCCAGAGUACCACGAGACACGUGAAACCUUGUGGGAAGCAGGGAGGACCACCUCCCAAGGCUAAAUACUACCUGAUGACCGAUAGUGAAGCAGUACCGUGAGGGAAAGGUGAAAAGAACCCCGGGAGGGGAGUGAAAUAGAACCUGAAACCGUGUGCCUACAACCGCUCAGAGCCCCUUAUGAGGGUGAUGAGGUGCUUUUUGUAGAACGAGCCAACGAGUUACGGUAUGUAGCAAGGUUAAGUACUUAAGGUACGGAGCCGAAGGGAAACCGAGUCUGAAUAGGGCGACUAGUUGCAUGCCGUAGACCCGAAACCGGGUGACCUAUCCAUGGCCAGGUUGAAGCGAGGGUAAAACCUCGUGGAGGACCGAACCACGUUGCUGUUGAAAAAGCAUGGGAUGAGCUGUGGAUAGCGGAGAAAUUCCAAUCGAACCCGGAGAUAGCUGGUUCUCUCCGAAAUAGCUUUAGGGCUAGCGUCGAGUAUGAGUAGUGGAGGUAGAGCACUGAAUGGGCUAGGGGGCAUAGCGCUUACCGAACCUUAUCAAACUCCGAAUGCCACAUACUUUGAGCUCGGCAGUCAGACUACGAAUGAUAAGAUCCGUGGUCAAAAGGGAAACAGCCCAGAUCGUCAGCUAAGGUCCCAAAGUGUAAGUUAAGUGGGAAAGGAUGUGAGAUUUCUAAGACAACUAGGAUGUUGGCUUAGAAGCAGCCAUUCAUUAAAAGAGUGCGUAAUAGCUCACUAGUCGAGAGAUCUUGCGCCGAAAAUGUAACGGGGCUAAACUUACCACCGAAGCUACGGGCUUGAACUUAGUUCAAGCGGUAGGAGAGCGUCGUAACCGGGCUGAAGUCGUACCGUAAGGAGCGGUGGACUGGUUACGAGUGAGAAUGUUGGCAUCAGUAGCGAGAUGUGGGUGAGAAUCCCACAGGCCGAAAACCUAAGGUUUCCUCAGGAAGGUUCGUCCGCUGAGGGUUAGUCGGGACCUAAGCCGAGGCCGAAAGGCGUAGGUGAUGGACAACUGGUUGAUAUUCCAGUACCACUACCAUCGUUAUUAUCGAUGGCGUGACGCAGGAGGAUAGUGUGUGCUAGCUAUUGGAUGCUAGUCUAAGCGUUUAGGCAGUGAGAGUAGGCAAAUCCGCUCUCAUAAUGCU
rnacentral:rRNA from 1 species